UACAGAGGGUGCAAGCGUUAAUCGGAAUUACUGGGCGUAAAGAGUGCGUAGACGGUUAUGUAAGUCAGAUGUGAAAGCCCCGGGCUCAACCUGGGAAUUGCAUUUGAGACUGCAUAGCUAGGGUGCGGAAGAGGGAAGCGGAAUUUCCGGUGUAGCGGUGAAAUGCGUAGAUAUCGGAAGGAACACCAGUGGCGAAAGCGGCUUCCUGGUCCAGCACCGACGUUCAGGCACGAAAGCGUGGGGAGCAAACAGG
rnacentral:rRNA from 1 species